GAUGAACGCUGGCGGCGUGCCUAAUACAUGCAAGUCGAACGCACAGCGAAAGGUGCUUGCACCUUUCAAGUGAGUGGCGAACGGGUGAGUAACACGUGGAUAACCUACCUCAAGGUUGGGGAUAACAUUUGGAAACAGAUGCUAAUACCGAAUAAAACUUAGUAUCGCAUGAUACCAGGUUAAAAGGCGCUACGGCGUCACCUAGAGAUGGAUCCGCGGUGCAUUAGUUAGUUGGUGGGUAAAGGCUUACCAAGACAAUGAUGCAUAGCCGAGUUGAGAGACUGAUCGGCCACAUUGGACUGAGACACGGCCCAAACUCCUACGGGAGGCUGCAGUAGGGAAUCUUCCACAAUGGGCGAAAGCCUGAUGGAGCAACGCCGCGUGUGUGAUGAAGCUUGGUCGUAAAGCACUGUGUAUGGAAGAACAGCUAGAGUAGGGAAUGAC
rnacentral:rRNA from 1 species